rnacentral:rRNA from 1 species
CCUACGGGUGGCAGCAGUGAGGAAUAUUGGUCAAUGGACGAGAGUCUGAACCAGCCAAGUAGCGUGAAGGAUGACUGCCCUAUGGGUUGUAAACUUCUUUUAUAUGGGAAUAAAAUGUUCCACGUGUGGGAUUUUGUAUGUACCAUAUGAAUAAGGAUCGGCUAACUCCGUUCCAGCAGCCGCGGUAAUACGGAGGAUCCGAACGUUAUCCGGAUUUAUUGGGUUUAAAGGGAGCGUAGGUGGAUUGUUAAGUCAGUUGUGAAAGUUUGCGGCUCAACCGUAAAAUUGCAGUUGAAACUGGCAGUCUUGAGUACAGUAGAGGUGGGCGGAAUUCGUGGUGUAGCGGUGAAAUGCUUAGAUAUCACGAAGAACUCCGAUUGCGAAGGCAGUUCACUGGACUGCAACUGACACUGAGGCUCGAAAGUGUGGGUAUCAAACAGGAUUAGAUACCCGGGUAGUC